UUAUUAAACUUUACCAAGCUUUUGAUAGUGAACGUUUUUUAUUUUAUAAAUUUGCUUUUCUUAUUUGAUUAUUACUUGAAACCAAAAAAUUGCCGUUUCUAAAUGUGGUUUUCCUUUAUAUCAGGCGAUGUAUUUCUUUUCGAAAAAAUGAAAAUGAAGAAAAAUAACUUGGUUGCAGUUCUUUCAAAAUUAGAAAAAUCAUUUAGAAUUCAUUUCGAUUUACUACUCAAAAGUUUUUCAGAUGGGUAUAGAAGUGUUAUUCAUUUUACUAAACAAGAAGAUAAUCAAAACUACGGUGAUCGAAUUCCUGCCAUUUGGGUUUUUGAGCAAAAGUUAACCAUUGCUUUUGCAAUAAGUGGUGAAAAAAAUUAUUAUUUUAAUUCCAACCCACUUCCACUAAACCGUUAUAUAGAUGUUCAAGUAGAACAACAAGUUUAACCGGAAAAAACAAUUUUUUUUGUGCUUAUUGACGGCAAAUUAGUAUAUGAAGUAGAAAACUUAGACGCACAAGAAUUUACAGAUAUCAACGUAUUCGCUGGAGAUCCAUGGUAUCCAGUCCAGGAUGGCUUCAUUAUGGGAUUCACUGUUAGUAAUGGGCCUAGCGAUUAUAAAAAAAGUUUGAAAAAAGACGCCGUACGAAAAAAGACAUUUGGGUUCAAAUUUUAAAGUGUUACGAUAACUUACUUUCUACAUUGA